CCUACGGGUGGCAGCAGUGGGGAAUAUUGGGCAAUGGGCGCAAGCCUGUCCCAGCAACGCCGCGUGAAGGAAGAAGGCUUUCGGGUUGUAAACUUCUUUUCUCAGGGACGAAGCAAGUGACGGUACCUGAGGAAUAAGCCACGGCUAACUACGUGCCAGCAGCCGCGGUAAUACGUAGGUGGCAAGCGUUAUCCGGAUUUACUGGGUGUAAAGGGCGUGUAGGCGGGAAAGCAAGUCAGAUGUGAAAACCAUGGGCUCAACCUGUGGCCUGCAUUUGAUACUGUUUUUCUGGAGUACUGGGGAGGCAGACGGAAUUCCUAGUGUAGCGGUGAAAUGCGUAGAUAUUAGGAGGAACGCCAGUGGCGAAGGCGGUCUGCUGGACAGCAACUGACGCUGAGGCGCGAAAGCGUGGGGAGCAAACAGGAUUAGAUACCCCUGUAGUC
rnacentral:rRNA from 1 species